GAUGAACGCUGGCGGCGUGCCUAAUACAUGCCAGUCGAGCGAACAGACGAGGAGCUUGCUCCUCUGACGUUAGCGGCGGACGGGUGAGUAACACGUGGAUAACCUACCUAUAAGACUGGGAUAACUUCGGGAAACCGGAGCUAAUACCGGAUAAUAUAUUGAACCGCAUGGUUCAAUAGUGAAAGACGGUUUUGCUGUCACUUAUAGAUGGAUCCGCGCCGCAUUAGCUAGUUGGUAAGGUAACGGCUUACCAAGGCGACGAUGCGUAGCCGACCUGAGAGGGUGAUCGGCCACACUGGAACUGAGACACGGUCCAGACUCCUACGGGAGGCAGCAGUAGGGAAUCUUCCGCAAUGGGCGAAAGCCUGACGGAGCAACGCCGCGUGAGUGAUGAAGGUCUUCGGAUCGUAAAACUCUGUUAUUAGGGAAGAACAAAUGUGUAAGUAACUAUGCACGUCUGGACGGUACCUAAUCAGAAAGCCACGGCUAACUACGU
rnacentral:rRNA from 1 species